AACGCCGGGCGGGGUUCCUUAUUACAUGCCAGUUGAAGCGCUGAAGGUUUGGUACUUGUACCCAACUGGUUGAGCAGCGAACGGGUGAGUAACGCGUGGGGAUCCUGCCUUUGAGCGGGGGACAACAUUUGGAAACGAAUGCUAAUACCGCAUAAAAACUUUAAACACAAGUUUUAAGUUUGAAAGAUGCAAUUGCAUCACUCAAAGAUGAUCCCGCGUUGUAUUAGCUAGUUGGUGAGGUAAAGGCUCACCAAGGCGAUGAUACAUAGCCGACCUGAGAGGGUGAUCGGCCACAUUGGGACUGAGACACGGCCCAAACUCCUACGGGAGGCAGCAGUAGGGAAUCUUCGGCAAUGGACGAAAGUCUGACCGAGCAACGCCGCGUGAGUGAAGAAGGUUUUCGGAUCGUAAAACUCUGUUGGUAGAGAAGAACGUUGGUGAGAGUGGAAAGCUCAUCAAGUGACGGUAACUACCCAGAAAGGGACGGCUAACUACGUGCCAGCAGCCGCGGUAAUACGUAGGUCCCGAGCGUUGUCCGGAUUUAUUGGGCGUAAAGCGAGCGCAGGUGGUUUAUUAAGUCUGGUGUAAAAGGCAGUGGCUCAACCAUUGUAUGCAUUGGAAACUGGUAGACUUGAGUGCAGGAGAGGAGAGUGGAAUUCCAUGUGUAGCGGUGAAAUGCGUAGAUAUAUGGAGGAACACCGGUGGCGAAAGCGGCUCUCUGGCCUGUAACUGACACUGAGGCUCGAAAGCGUGGGGAGCAAACAGGAUUAGAUACCCUGGUAGUCCACGCCGUAAACGAUGAGUGCUAGAUGUAGGGAGCUAUAAGUUCUCUGUAUCGCAUCUAACGCAAUA
rnacentral:rRNA from 1 species